CUACGGGGCGCAGCAGUGAGGAAUAUUGCACAAUGGGGGGAACCCUGAUGCAGCAACGCCGCGUGGAGGAUGACGCAUUUCGGUGUGUAAACUCCUUUUAUAUGUCAAGAAAAUGACGGCAGCAUAUGAAUAAGCACCGGCUAACUCCGUGCAGCAGCCGCGGUAAUACGGAGGGUGCAAGCGUUACUCGGAAUCACUGGGCGUAAAGGACGCGUAGGCGGGUUGGAAAGUCAGGUGUGAAAUCCUACAGCUUAACGGUAGAACUGCACUUGAAACUUCUAAUCUAGAGUAUGGGAGGGGGAGAUGGAAUUAGUGGUGUAGGGGUAAAAUCCGUAGAUAUCACUAGGAAUACCUAAAGCGAAGGCGAUCUCCUGGAACAUUACUGACGCUAAGGCGUGAAAGCGUGGGGAGCAAACAGGAUUAGAUACCCCAGUAGUC
rnacentral:rRNA from 1 species